rnacentral:rRNA from 1 species
UGGGGAAUAUUGCACAAUGGGCGAAAGCCUGAUGCAGCAACGCCGCGUGAGUGAUGAAGGUCUUCGGAUUUGUAAAGCUCUGUCUUUUGGGACGAUAAUGACGGUACCAAAGGAGGAAGCCACGGCUAACUACGUGCCAGCAGCCGCGGUAAUACGUAGGUGGCGAGCGUUGUCCGGAUUUACUGGGCGUAAAGGGUGCGUAGGCGGAUGUUUAAGUGAGAUGUGAAAUACCCGGGCUUAACUUGGGUGCUGCAUUUCAAACUGGAUAUCUAGAGUGCAGGAGAGGAGAAUGGAAUUCCUAGUGUAGCGGUGAAAUGCGUAGAGAUUAGGAAGAACACCAGUGGCGAAGGCGAUUCUCUGGACUGUAACUGACGCUGAGGCACGAAAGCGUGGGUAGCAAACAGGAUUAGAUACCCUGGUAGUCCACGCCGUAAACGAUGAGUACUAGGUGUAGGAGGUAUCGACCCCUUCUGUGCCGCAGUAAACACAUUAAGUACUCCGCCUGGGAAGUACGAUCGCAAGAUUAAAACUCUAAAGUGAA